rnacentral:lncRNA from 1 species
GGGGGAGGGGGAGGAAAGCUUCUUUCCGACGCCCCCUCCACCAACCUCCCCCGGCAGGGCAGCACCACUGACCUCAUUCGCCCAACUGUAUCCAGGCCUGCUGGGCUCCAGGCCAGUGGGGCGCUUCUCUCUCCACCUCCAGGGAAUUCGAGGGUGAGAGGGGUGUCUGCUUUCCCCGAUUCCAGCAGGAUCCCCAAGCGCUCCGGGCGCCCCGGCCCGGGCCCGGUGGCCAGGACUCGGUAGAUCCAGUCGCCUCUGGUUGCUGAGUU